CCGCAUCGAGCGGCGGCUUGGCCGCGGUGCCACCGAGCGGCACGCCUUCGUUGGCGCGCGUCAGCGACCGGGGUGCGGCUUCCUUGUUACCGACCA
rnacentral:tRNA from 1 species